rnacentral:ncRNA from 1 species
AAAUCAACGUUGUAUCAUCCCUUGGGAACUAUUUUAGCUGCUAAGGGUCUCUAAGUAUCUCCAAGAUGGUUGAUUAUUUUCACACCGUUUGAGACCCGUUGAAGCGCAAUAUGAAUAUGUCCUGCUCUUGGAAAUGCUGAAAUUUAAUAUAGCUUCUUUCAUAGUGGCACACUAUGCUUUGUAUACAUUGACAUGGGAUAACAUUAUAGAAUUUAGGUCCUAUUACAUUGGACUUCUGUAUUGGAGUAAUGAUUAGCAGGGAAAGUCGGGGGUAUUUGUAUUUCAUAGUCAGAGGUGAAAUUCUUGGAUUCAUGGAAGACGAGUAAAUGCAAAAGAAUUUACCAAUGAUGUUUUCAUUAACCAAGAAUGAAAUAUAGAGGCUCAGAUACGAUUAGAUAUUAUCAAGUUUCAAUAAUAAAUGAUAACUACUAGGGAUUGGCGGAUUCAUAAAAGGGAAAAUUUAUCGAUUCCUAGUCAAAAAAAAAUUUGGUU